rnacentral:tRNA from 1 species
GUUCUUAUAGUGUAGAGAGCACAUGAGAUUUUCAAUUUCAUAGGGCAUUGUAGUUAUAGUUAAUGCUAAGAAUA